AUGAACGCUGGCGGCGUGCCUAAUACAUGCAAGUCGAGCGAACAGAUGAGGAGCUUGCUCCUCUGACGUUAGCGGCGGACGGGGGAGUAACACGUGGAUAACCUACCUAUAAGACUGGGAUAACUUCGGGAAACCGGAGCUAAUACCGGAUAAUAUAUUGAACCGCAUGGUUCAAUAGUGAAAGACGGUUUUGCUGUCACUUAUAGAUGGAUCCGCGCCGCAUUAGCUAGUUGGUAAGGUAACGGCUUACCAAGGCAACGAUGCGUAGCCGACCUGAGAGGGUGAUCGGCCACACUGGAACUGAGACACGGUCCAGACUCCUACGGGAGGCAGCAGUAGGGAAUCUUCCGCAAUGGGCGAAAGCCUGACGGAGCAACGCCGCGUGAGUGAUGAAGGUCUUCGGAUCGUAAAACUCUGUUAUUAGGGAAGAACAAAUGUGUAAGUAACUAUGCACGUCUUGACGGUACCUAAUCAGAAAGCCACGGCUAACUACGUG
rnacentral:rRNA from 1 species